rnacentral:rRNA from 1 species
GUGGGGAAUUUUGGACAAUGGGCGCAAGCCUGAUCCAGCAAUGCCGCGUGCAGGAAGAAGGCCUUCGGGUUGUAAACUGCUUUUGUACGGAACGAAACGGUCCUGGUUAAUACCCGGGGCUAAUGACGGUACCGUAAGAAUAAGCACCGGCUAACUACGUGCCAGCAGCCGCGGUAAUACGUAGGGUGCAAGCGUUAAUCGGAAUUACUGGGCGUAAAGCGUGCGCAGGCGGUGCUGUAAGACAGGCGUGAAAUCCCCGGGCUUAACCUGGGAAUUGCGCUUGUGACUGCAGUGCUGGAGUGCGGCAGAGGGGGAUGGAAUUCCGCGUGUAGCAGUGAAAUGCGUAGAUAUGCGGAGGAACACCGAUGGCGAAGGCAAUCCCCUGGACCUGUACUGACGCUCAUGCACGAAAGCGUGGGGAGCAAACAGGAUUAGAAACCCGUGUAGUCC